rnacentral:ncRNA from 2 species
AGAGGGGGUAGAGGCGCGGCAGUUAUGAGAAGUACAUCUGAGGCGAAGGGACGUCGGACGGUGUGCGUAAGGAACUGUUGCCGAAGCGGGUUCGGAUCCCUUGCCGAAUCGGUUGGGUUCGUUUCCGAAAGGAGCGAAACUGUCACAUGCGAGCAGUUUGCGUGUGGUGUGCUAUCGGGGAA